rnacentral:lncRNA from 1 species
CUUUGACACAUUUCUUGGGAGUGGUGGAACCCAGCGGGACUUACACCUGCGUAAAAAUUGCUAUAUGAAUGUGCCGCACCUGCUCCAAAUACGCAUCCUCUCUGUCCACCUCAUAAAGCUAGUGAAAGCGUGGUAAGCAAAGGCAAAAAGGUCAUAGGAUAUGCCUGUGGAACGAAGCAGUAGAGGAAUGCCGUGCUCAGCGCGCCCACUCGCCUCACAAAGGUUGAGGGCAAAUUAUCCCACCCGCCCUUUAGGUUGAGGUCCUGAACGCCUGCAGCGGGACUCAGGCGUCGCUUUUAUUCCUGUCUCCUGGUACUGAACACAACAAAGCGGCGGCGGGAGGGCAGAUACCUAUAUGUGCGUGUGCUGUGUAUUAUUGCUGUAGCGACGUCCUGUUAUGUGCUAUUUAUAGACAUUUAUAGACACUAGCAGGGCGAAGCCGGGGAAGUGAGCAAGCAAGGAGACUACGUUUCCCAGAGUGCACUGCCGCAAGAAGCGCCUCACCUCGCCUGCGCAGUAUUCGGGUUGCAGCUCCGGCGGCCUGCAGGGAGCGUUGUAUCCUGAAGGUUGACAUUGCUGUGAAUGUGGACAGGGCAGGCUAUGUGAGCGCCCCCUCCUCCUCCUCCUCCGCAGGCUAUGAUAGAUACCCAUGAAAAACCCUUCUCUAAUCAGCUGUUGUCAUUUCACCCAUUUCUGCUGGGAGGCAAGAGCAAGGGAACCUGGAGUGGAUGGACCUCCUCCAGGUCUACAUUCUCCUUCCUUAACUGUACCAUCUCCUAGAAGAGGAGAGCAGCCCAAAUUCACACCCAGAAUGUUUUGCGCACUGCCUGGGGGUGACAGGCAGGCAUGACAGUUGUCAGCAGGGAUUCAACCUUGGAUUUUCUCUGCCAGAACUACAACUCUCAGAAACGUAAGACUGUCUAUAAUCAGUGGAGCGAGUCUUUGAAACCGGGCCCGAUCACAUCUUGCACAGCUAGUGAAUGGCAGGAAGACAUCUGAUAAUAGAAGCCAUGGCAGUUUGAUCCUCAAAGCACCCACUCUCUCAGCCCAUUAAAACGAAUGCCUGAGCUGUAACGAUGGCACCUUGAGAGACAGCGCCGUAAUAUAUUUCUAAGGUGGUCAGAGGAGAACAAUGCAAUAAAUAAAAAAGACAAUAUAUGUGUAAAGCCACCUUUUUUGAAUGUUGCUGCUGUGGUGCUUUUAUUUUAAUCUCUGAAGCUUCAGGUAAAGAGUGUCAAGUACAGUUGUACUGAAAACUAGCAACCACUUGAGCAUGACAGAUUUACAGAACUUAAAUGUUUCCACUGUGGCUUUUUGUUGAAUGCCCAGUUGCUUGUCUGCUUAGAGAACCACUUGUUCAAACAAUAGCAGAUGAAAAUGCCCAUACAGUAUUGUAAACCAGAAAUCAUUAUUUUUCAUCCUAUGGCUUUGCUCCGACAGUCAUUGCAAAAAGGUUGCCAUUUUAUUUUUAUUUCCAUUCAAGUGCCCUGUAUUAAUGUGGUUUUAUGCACUUUUUAAUCCUUAAAAAGUUUAACACCUAUGAAACCUAUGCCCAAAUGACCUACCUCUUCAGAUUAUGCAUCCUACUUGUGGGCCGAGAGACUGAGGAAAACCUUUCAUUGAACUUCUCCAAGGCAAAGUGAGCUCUUCCGUUGGAUUCUCUGGGGUGGGACUCACUGUUAGCUGUGAGAGUAGCACAACUUCUUUCCCUAACCGUUUUCUUGUGUUGCUGCUGGUGCAAGUGGCAGGAACAGCCGUGUUGGCAGACUAUCCACAAUUUUGCACUUGCCACACUGCCUAGUGUAGUCCUGAGGGCAGUGUGUGUGUGUGUGUGUGUGUGUGUGUUAGGGAGGGCCAGAAGUGGCAGUUACUAUAAAAAAUGGUGGUGAACUUGUAGAGAAAAUCCUUUUUCUACGGGGACAGGGAGGGUGAGUAAAACAAAAAUUACCAUUUUUUUUUUCUUCAGAAAAACGUCUUCUGAAAAAU